UGCAUGUCCAAGUGCAAACCUUUGUACGGUGAAACUGCGAACGGCUCAUUAUAUCAGUUAUAAUCUACUUGACGAUUCAUUAUUACUUGGAUAACCGUGGUAAUUCUAGAGCUAAUACAUGCACAAACGCCCUUUGGGGUGGUGUUUAUUAGAUAAAAACCAACGCCGGAAACGGCACUUGGCGAGUCAUGAUAACCGCGCGGAUCGCAUGGCCUUGUGCCGGCGACGCUUCAUUCGAGUUUCUGCCCUAUCAAUUUUCGACGGUAAGGUAUUGGCUUACCGUGGUGGUGACGGGUAACGGGGAAUCAGGGUUCGAUUCCGGAGAGGGAGCCUGAGAAAUGGCUACCACUUCCAAGGAAGGCAGCAGGCGCGCAAAUUACCCAAUCCUGACACAGGGAGGUAGUGACAGUAAAUAACAAUGCAGAGCCCUUUGGGUUUUGCAAUUGGAAUGAGAACAAUUUAAAUCCCUUAUCGAGUAACAAUUGGAGGGCAAGUCUGGUGCCAGCAGCCGCGGUAAUUCCAGCUCCAAUAGCGUAUAUUAAAGUUGUUGCAGUUAAAAAGCUCGUAGUUGAACUUUUGGUGAGGUGCUGUGGUCUAGAAAUUCUAGACUGCAGUGCUGAGCCUGUUUUGGGGGAAGCGUCACUUGUGGCGAAGAACCCGGGUUACUGUGAAGAAAUUAGAGUGUUUAAAGCAGGCGAUCGCUUGAAUACAUUAGCAUGGAAUAACAAGAUAGGACUUGAUUCUACUUGUUGGUUUGGGAGUCAAAGUAAUGAUUAAUAGGGCCAGUCGGGGGCAUUAGUAUUCAGCAGUCAGAGGUGAAAUUCUUGGAUUUGCUGAAGACUAACUAGUGCGAAAGCAUUUGCCAGGGAUGUUUUCAUUAAUCAAGAACGAAAGUUAGGGGAUCGAAGACGAUCAGAUACCGUCGUAGUCUUAACUAUAAACGAUGCCGACUCGGGAUCGGCAGGCUUCGUUCGCGAACCUGUCGGCACCGUGUGAGAAAUCAAAGUUUUUGGGUUCUGGGGGGAGUAUGGUCGCAAGGCUGAAACUUAAAGGAAUUGACGGAAGGGCACCACCAGGAGUGGAGCCUGCGGCUUAAUUUGACUCAACACGGGUAAACUCACCCGGCCCGGACACCGGAAGGAUUGACAGAUUGAGAGCUCUUUCUUGAUUCGGUGGGUGGUGGUGCAUGGCCGUUCUUAGUUGGUGGAGUGAUUUGUCUGGUUAAUUCCGAUAACGAACGAGACUCUGGCCUACUAACUAGUGAGUGGAUCUUCAAGUCCGCUCGACUUCUUAGAGGGACAAGCAGCGUUUAGCUGCAUGAAAAAGAGCAAUAACAGGUCUGUGAUGCCCUUAGAUGUCCGGGGCUGCACGCGCGCUACACUGAAGGAAUCAGCGUGUGGGACUGCCUGACUUGAAAGAGUUGGGUAAUCCGGUGAAAAUCCUUCGUGAUUGGGAUCGGGACUUGCAAUUAUUUCCCUUAAACGAGGAAUUCCCAGUAAAUUCGGGUCAUAAGCUCGAGUUGAUUACGUCCCUGCCCUUUGUACACACCGCCCGUCGCUACUACCGAUUGGAUGACUUAGUGAGGUCUUAGGACUGAGGUAAAGGUGCCUGUAAUGGGUGCUUUUGCUUUGGAAAUUUGAUCGAACUACGUUAUCUAGAGGAAGUAAAA
rnacentral:rRNA from 1 species